AGCGAACGCUGGCGGCAGGCCUAACACAUGCAAGUCGAACGAACUCUUCGGAGUUAGUGGCGGACGGGUGAGUAACACGUGGGAACGUGCCUUUAGGUUCGGAAUAACUCAGGGAAACUUGAGCUAAUACCGGAUGUGCCCUUCGGGGGAAAGAUUUAUCGCCUUUAGAGUGGCCCGCGUCUGAUUAGCUAGUUGGUGAGGUAAAGGCUCACCAAGGCGACGAUCAGUAGCUGGUCUGAGAGGAUGAUCAGCCACAUUGGGACUGAGACACGGCCCAAACUCCUACGGGAGGCAGCAGUGGGGAAUCUUGCGCAAUGGGCGAAAGCCUGACGCAGCCAUGCCGCGUGAAUGAUGAAGGUCUUAGGAUUGUAAAAUUCUUUCACCGGGGACGAUAAUGACGGUACCCGGAGAAGAAGCCCCGGCUAACUUCGUG
rnacentral:rRNA from 1 species